GUAGGUGGCAAGCGUUGUCCGGAAUUAUUGGGCGUAAAGCGCGCGCAGGUGGUUCUUUAAGUCUGAUGUGAAAGCCCCCGGCUCAACCGGGGAGGGUCAUUGGAAACUGGGGAACUUGAGUGCAGGAGAGGAAAGUGGAAUUCCACGUGUAGCGGUGAAAUGCGUAGAUAUGCGGAGGAACACCAGUGGCGAAGGCGACUUUCUGGCCUGUAACUGACACUGAGGCGCGAAAGCGUGGGGAGCAAACAGGGAUUAGAUACCCUGGUAGUCCACGCCGUAAACGAUGAGUGCUAAGUGUUGGGGGGGUUUCCCGCCCCUCAGUGCUGCAGCUAACGCAUUAAGCACUCCGCCUGGGGAGUACGGUCGCAAGACUG
rnacentral:rRNA from 1 species